rnacentral:rRNA from 1 species
GUGAGUUGAGUGUACCCUAAGAGGAAUUGGCGGCUAACUCAGUGCCAGCAGCCGCGGUAAUACAGAGGCCAUGAGCAUUGUUAGGAUUUAGUGGGAGUGAAGGGCGGGUAGGCGGUCAUGGGUGUAAAGUGAGAAAUCUCCGCGAUCAACCCGGAAAGUGCGCUUGAGACUACAUGACGAGAGUGUGGGAGAGGGAAUCUGAAUAUAGGGGGUAUGGGUGAAAUUUGUAGAUAUCAUAUAGAACGCAGGGGGGGAAGCUGUAUUCCUAGAAAGGUACUGAACCCUGUGGCGCGAAAGUUCGGGGGAGCAAACAGGAUUAGAUACCCCAGUAGUACACGCGGAAAACGAUGGAUGACUCGCUGUAUGCCUUUUUGGUAUGUGGCCAAGGGAAACCAUUAAGCAUCCCACCUGGGGAGUACGCCGGCAACGGUGAAACUCAAAGGAAUUGACGGGGGCCCGCACAAGCGGAGGAACAUGUGGUUUAAUUCGAUGAUACGCGAGGAACCUUACCCGGGCUUGAACUGCAGGUGAACGAUCCAGAGAUGGUGAGGCCCUUCGGGGCACCUGUGGAGGUGCUGCAUGGUUGUCGUCAGCUCGUGCCGUGAGGUGUCGGCUUAAGUGCCAUAACGAGCGCAACCCUUGCCGUUAGUUGCCAUCAGGUCAAGCUGGGCACUCUAGCGGGACUGCCAUCGUAAGAUGUGAGGAAGGUGGGGAUGACGUCAAAUCAGCACGGCCCUUAUGUCCGGGGCGACACACGUGUUACAAUGGGGGGUACAGAGGGAAGCCACCUGGCGACAGGGCGCGGAUCCCGAAAUCCCUUCUCAGUUCGGAUCGGAGUCUGGAACUCGACUCCGUGAAGCUGGAUUCGCUAGUAAUCGCGCAUCAGCCAUGGCGCGGUGAAUACGUUCCCGGCCCUUGUACACACCGCCGGUCAAG